rnacentral:rRNA from 1 species
GCAGUCGAGCGGACAGAAGGGAGCUUGCUCCCGGAUGUUAGCGGCGGACGGGUGAGUAACACGUGGGUAACCUGCCUGUAAGACUGGGAUAACUCCGGGAAACCGGAGCUAAUACCGGAUAGUUCCUUGAACCGCAUGGUUCAAGGAUGAAAGACGGUUUCGGCUGUCACUUACAGAUGGACCCGCGGCGCAUUAGCUAGUUGGUGGGGUAAUGGCUCACCAAGGCGACGAUGCGUAGCCGACCUGAGAGGGUGAUCGGCCACACUGGGACUGAGACACGGCCCAGACUCCUACGGGAGGCAGCAGUAGGGAAUCUUCCGCAAUGGACGAAAGUCUGACGGAGCAACGCCGCGUGAGUGAUGAAGGUUUUCGGAUCGUAAAGCUCUGUUGUUAGGGAAGAACAAGUGCGAGAGUAACUGCUCGCACCUUGACGGUACCUAACCAGAAAGCCACGGCUAACUACGUGCCAGCAGCCGCGGUAAUACGUAGGUGGCAAGCGUUGUCCGGAAUUAUUGGGCGUAAAGGGCUCGCAGGCGGUUUCUUAAGUCUGAUGUGAAAGCCCCCGGCUCAACCGGGGAGGGUCAUUGGAAACUGGGAAACUUGAGUGCAGAAGAGGAGAGUGGAAUUCCACGUGUAGCGGUGAAUGCGUAGAGAUGUGGAGGGACACCAGUGGCGAAGCGACUCUCUGGUCUGUACUGACGCUGAGAGCGAAAGCGUGGGAGCGACAGAUUAGAUACCCUGUAGUCCACGCCGUAACGAUGAUGCUAAGUGUUAAGGGGUUUCCGCCCCUU